rnacentral:rRNA from 1 species
CUACGGGACGCUGCAGUGGGGAAUAUUGCACAAUGGGCGCAAGCCUGAUGCAGCCAUGCCGCGUGUAUGAAGAAGGCCUUCGGGUUGUAAAGUACUUUCAGCGGGGAGGAAGGGAGUAAAGUUAAUACCUUUGCUCAUUGACGUUACCCGCAGAAGAAGCACCGGCUAACUCCGUGCCAGCAGCCGCGAUAAUACGGAGGGUGCAAGCGUUAAUCGGAAUUACUGGGCGUAAAGCGCACGCAGGCGGUUUGUUAAGUCAGAUGUGAAAUCCCCGGGCUCAACCUGGGAACUGCAUCUGAUACUGGCAAGCUUGAGUCUCGUAGAGGGGGGUAGAAUUCCAGGUGUAGCGGUGAAAUGCGUAGAGAUCUGGAGGGAUACCGGUGGCGAAGGCGGCCCCCUGGACGAAGACUGACGCUCAGGUGCGAAAGCGUGGGGAGCAAACAGGAUUAGAUACCCCCGUAGUC